AUUGAACGCUGGCGGCAUGCUUUACAUAUGCAAGUCGAACGGCAGCGCGGGCUUCGGCCUGGCGGCGAGUGGCGAACGGGUGAGUAAUGCAUCGGAACGUGCCCAGUAGUGGGGGAUAGCCCAGCGAAAGCCGGAUUAAUACCGCAUACGACCUGAGGGUGAAAGCGGGGGACCGAAAGGCCUCGCGCUAUUGGAGCGGCCGAUGUCGGAUUAGCUAGUUGGUGGGGUAAAGGCUUACCAAGGCGACGAUCCGUAGCUGGUCUGAGAGGACGACCAGCCACACUGGGACUGAGACACGGCCCAGACUCCUACGGGAGGCAGCAGUGGGGAAUUUUGGACAAUGGGGGCAACCCUGAUCCAGCCAUGCCGCGUGCGGGAAGAAGGCCUUCGGGUUGUAAACCGCUUUUGUUCGGGAAGAAAUCCUCUGGGCUAAUACCCCGGGGGGAUGACGGUACCGGAAGAAUAAGCACCGGCUAACUACGUG
rnacentral:rRNA from 1 species